rnacentral:rRNA from 1 species
AACGCGAAGAACCUUACCUACCCUUGACAUACGGUGAAUUUUGCAGAGAUGCAGAAGUGCCUUCGGGAGCACUGAUACAGGUGCUGCAUGGCUGUCGUCAGCUCGUGUCGUGAGAUGUUGGGUUAAGUCCCGUAACGAGCGCAACCCUUAUCCUUAUUUGCCAGCACGUUAAGGUGGGAACUCUAAGGAGACUGCCGGUGACAAACCGGAGGAAGGCGGGGACGACGUCAAGUCAUCAUGGCCCUUACGGGUAGGGCUACACACGUGCUACAAUGGCCGGUACAGAAGGUAGCGAAGCGGUGACGUGGAGCAAAUCCUAGAAAGCUGGUCGUAGUCCGGAUUGGAGUCUGCAACUCGACUCCAUGAAGUUGGAAUCGCUAGUAAUCGCGAAUCAGCAUGUCGCGGUGAAUACGUUCCCGGGCCUUGUACACACCGUACGUC